GGCCAUAGCUCAGUGGUAGGGUGUCUGCUUUGCAUGCAGAAAGUCCAAGGUUCAACUGGAAAAAGAUCCUUGGAAAGCUG